GCCAGGGGUGGAAGUGCACACCUGUAAUCCCAGCAACUCAGGAGGCAGAGGCAGGAGGAUUGCAAGUUUAAGGCCAACAGUCAGAAAUUUAGUGAGACUCUGUCUCAA
rnacentral:sRNA from 1 species